CAGGUCUGCAGUAUGGAAAACCAGGAACCUGCUCACAAAUAGACCCCAAAGUCAAGGAUUGUAUUUAAAUGGGACUAAGUGAAAUGUACUGGUACUACAGAAAGGCAGAAGAGGAUGACAGGAAAAAAAUAGCAGACCUCAUCUGGUGGAACCUCAAGGGGACUGGCAUAGACUUUUUUAGGAUUAGCCCCUCUGAGAAGGGCAGUGGGUGGGGGUAUGGGUAUGGGGAUAGGUGCACAGUUGGGCAGUGCUGUCA